GACAGAGGUGGCAAGCGUUGUUCGGAUUCAUUGGGUGUAAAGGGCAGGUAGGUUGCCAUGUAAGUCCGGUGUGAAAUCCCGGGGCUCAACCCCGGAACUGCAUCCGAUACUGCCAUGCUAGAGGAUUGGAGAGGUAGCUGGAAUUCUUGGUGUAGCAGUGAAAUGCGUAGAGAUCAAGAGGAACACUCGUGGCGAAAGCGAGCUACUGGACAAUUCCUGACGCUGAGGCUCGAAGGCUAGGGUAGCGAAAGGG
rnacentral:rRNA from 1 species